GAUGAAGAACGUAGCGAAAUGCGAUAAGUAAUGUGAAUUGCAGUAUUCAGUGAAUCAUCGAAUCUUUGAACGCACAUUGCGCCCGCUAGUAUUCUGGCGGGCAUGCCUGUCCGAGCGUCAUUUCAACCCUCAAGCCCCCGGGCUUGGUGUUGGGGAUCGGCGAGCCUCCGCGCCCGCCGUCCCCUAAAUCUAGUGGCGGUCUCGCUGUAGCUUCCUCUGCGUAGUAGCACACCUCGCACUGGGAAACAGCGCGGCCACGCCGUUAAACCCCCAACUUCUGAACGUUUGACCUCGGAUCAGGUAGGAAUACCCGCUGAACUUAAGCAUAUCAAUAAGCGGAGGA
rnacentral:misc_RNA from 1 species